CAGUAGCCACGGUAAUACGGAGGGUGCAAGCGUUAAUCGGAAUUACUGGGCGUAAAGCGUGCGUAGGCGGUUCGUUAAGUCUGUUGUGAAAGCCCCGGGCUCAACCUGGGAAUGGCAAUGGAUACUGGCGAGCUAGAGUGUGUCAGAGGAUGGUGGAAUUCCCGGUGUAGCGGUGAAAUGCGUAGAGAUCGGGAGGAACAUCAGUGGCGAAGGCGGCCAUCUGGGACAACACUGACGCUGAGGCACGAAAGCGUGGGGAGCAAACAGGAUUAGAUACCCCAGUAGUCCCUGUCUCUUAUAC
rnacentral:rRNA from 1 species